rnacentral:rRNA from 1 species
AACGAACGCUGGCGGCGUGCCUAACACAUGCAAGUCGAACGGGACCUUCCUGUCUAGGUGCGCACGUGUGCGUACGGCGGGGUAACCUGCCCGUAGGUUCGCAAUAACUCCCCGAGAGAGGUGCUAAUGCCGGAUAAUCUCUUCGGACCAAGGAUUCGUCGCUUGGGGGUGGGGUCGGGUUAGAUUAGCUUGUUGGUAGGGUAAAGGCGUACCAAGGCGACGAUGGGUAGCUGGUCUGAGAGGAUGACCGGCCACACUGGGACUGAGAUACGGCCCAGACUCCUACGGGAGGCAGCAGUGGGGAAUAGUGCACAAUGGGCGGAAGCCUGAUGCAGCAACGCCGCGUGCGGGAAGACGGCCAUCGGGUUGGAAACCGCUUUCGCCUGUGACGAAGCGUGAGUGACGGUAAUGGGUAAAGAAGCACCGGCUAACUACGUG